rnacentral:rRNA from 1 species
AUUGAACGCUGGCGGCAUGCCUUACACAUGCAAGUCGAACGGCAGCACGGGAGCAAUCCUGGUGGCGAGUGGCGAACGGGUGAGUAAUAUAUCGGAACGUGCCCAGUCGUGGGGGAUAACGUAGCGAAAGCUACGCUAAUACCGCAUACGAUCUACGGAUGAAAGCGGGGGAUCGCAAGACCUCGCGCGAUUGGAGCGGCCGAUAUCAGAUUAGGUAGUUGGUGGGGUAAAGGGUCACCAAGCCGACGAUCCGUAGCUGGUCUGAGAGGACGACCAGCCACACUGGGACUGAGACACGGCCCAGACUCCUACGGGAGGCAGCAGUGGGGAAUUUUGGACAAUGGGCGCAAGCCUGAUCCAGCAAUGCCGCGUGCAGGAUGAAGGCCUUCGGGUUGUAAACUGCUUUUGUACGGAACGAAACGGCGAGCUCUAAUACAGUUUGCUAAUGACGGUACCGUAAGAAUAAGCACCGGCUAACUACGUGCCAGCAGCCGCAGUAA